CCCUUAGAUGUUCUGGGCCGCACGCGCGCUACACUGACGAAUGCAACGAGCUUAUAACCUUGGCCGAAAGGUCUGGGUAAUCUCCAAAUUUCGUCGUGAUGGGGAUAGAUUAUUGCAAUUAUUAAUCUUCAACGAGGAAUGCCUAGUAAGCGCAAGUCAUCAGCUUGCGUUGAUUACGUCCCUGCCCUUUGUACACACCGCCCGUCGCACCUACCGAUUGAAUGGUCCGGUGAAAUCUUGGGAUUUUGUUUUGUUUGCAUUUAUUUGUAUCGAGACGAGAGAACUUGAGUAAACCUUACCAUUUAGAGGAAGGUGAAGUCGUAACA
rnacentral:rRNA from 1 species